UGGCUCAGGAUGAACGCUAGCGGCAGGCUUAACACAUGCAAGUCGAGGGGCAGCGGGGAGGAAGCUUGCUUUCUCCGCCGGCGACCGGCGCACGGGUGAGUAACACGUAUGCAACCUGCCCCUGUCAGGGGGACAACCCGCCGAAAGGCGGGCUAAACCCGCGUACAUGCCACCGGGGCAUCCCGGAGGCAGGAAAGGCUUCGGCCGGACAGGGAUGGGCAUGCGGCGCAUUAGGCAGUAGGCGGGGUAACGGCCCACCUAACCGACGAUGCGUAGGGGUUCUGAGAGGAAGGUCCCCCACACUGGUACUGAGACACGGACCAGACUCCUACGGGAGGCAGCAGUGAGGAAUAUUGGUCAAUGGUCGGGAGACUGAACCAGCCAAGCCGCGUGAGGGAGGAAGGUACAGAGUAUCGUAAACCUCUUUUGUCAGGGAACAAAGACUGGGACGCGUCCCCGGAUGAGUGUACCUGAAGAAAAAGCAUCGGCUAACUCCGUGCCAGCAGCCGCGGUAAUACGGAGGAUGCGAGCGUUAUCCGGAUUUAUUGGGUUUAAAGGGUGCGCAGGCGGUCUGUUAAGUCAGCGGUCAAAGCCCGGGGCUCAACCCCGGCCCGCCGUUGAAACUGGCAGUCUCGAGUUGGAGAGAAGUAUGCGGAAUGCGCGGUGUAGCGGUGAAAUGCAUAGAUAUCGCGCAGAACUCCGAUUGCGAAGGCAGCAUGCCGGCUCCACACUGACGCUGAGGCACGAAAGCGUGGGUAUCGAACAGGAUUAGAUACCCUGGUAGUCCACGCAGUAAACGAUGAAUGCUAGCUGUCCGGGGGGACUGACCCCUGGGUGGCGAAGCGAAAGCGAUAAGCAUCCACCUGGGGAGUACGCCGGCAACGGUGAAACUCAAAGGAAUUGACGGGGGCCCGCACAAGCGGAGGAACAUGUGGUUUAAUUCGAUGAUACGCGAGGAACCUUACCCGGGCUCAAACGGGGAGUGACUCAGGCAGAGACGCCUGUUUCCCACGGGACACUCCCCGAGGUGCUGCAUGGUUGUCGUCAGCUCGUGCCGUGAGGUGUCGGCUUAAGUGCCAUAACGAGCGCAACCCCCGCGUGCAGUUGCUAACAGAUAACGCUGAGGACUCUGCACGGACUGCCGGCGCAAGCCGCGAGGAAGGCGGGGAUGACGUCAAAUCAGCACGGCCCUUACGUCCGGGGCGACACACGUGUUACAAUGGGUGGUACAGCGGGAAGCCAGGCGGCGACGCCGAGCGGAACCCGAAAUCCACUCUCAGUUCGGAUCGGAGUCUGCAACCCGACUCCGUGAAGCUGGAUUCGCUAGUAAUCGCGCAUCAGCCAUGGCGCGGUGAAUACGUUCCCGGGCCUUGUACACACCGCCCGUCAAGCCAUGGGAGCCGAGGGCGCUUGAAGUGCGUCGCCGCGAGGCGCGCCCUAGAGCGAAAUCGGUGACUGGGGCUAAGUCGUAACAAGGUAACCG
rnacentral:rRNA from 1 species